rnacentral:rRNA from 1 species
GUGUCAGCAGCCGCGGUAACACGUAGGAGGCGAGCGUUAUCCGGAUUUACUGGGCGUAAAGCGCACGCAGGCGGCUGGGUAAGUUGGGCGUGAAAGCUCCUGGCUUAACUGGGAGAGGUCGUUCGAUACUGCCUGGCUUGAGGUUGGGAGAGGGGUGUGGAAUUCCCGGUGUAGUGGUGGAAUGCGUAGAUAUCGGGAGGAACACCAGUGGCGAAAGCGGCACCCUGGCCCACAUCUGACGCUGAGGUGCGAAAGCGUGGGGAGCAAACAGGAUUAGAAACCCGGGUAGUCC